CAGUCGUACCUAUGGGUAAUCAGCCUUUUGGGUGUGAUUUUGUGGAGCGUGAGGAGUUUAACGCCUUCAUGCCUGCAUAUUCGUGCACUUUGGGUGUACUUGCCCGUAUGGUUGGUUAACAUCAAUUUCGGUCGUCAUAAAAUGAUUGGAGGAAUGUAGCUUUGAUCUCGUAUCGAAGUGUUAUAGACUCUGGUA
rnacentral:rRNA from 1 species